CAGGAAUCAGAUUUCUUGAAGUUGAAAACUAAGGAUCAAAAUUGCUGUUCCGUGACUUCCGUCUCCGACAAAAACCACUAGAGUUGCUCUAAACUAAAAUCCUUACAGCUGAUGCAAUGGCAAGUAGUUCUUCCUCACUAGCUUUCUUCCAUACUCCACCUAUCAUCAUAUGCCCCUUGAUAUCUUCGGAAGUAAGAUUUUCCUGGUCAUCUAUUUCACAACCCUCUAUUGUCUUUCUUAUUUUCUUUACAUUCAUCUUAUCUAAAUCAUCGGCAACAGAAUGAGGUUCUCUCUUCUUAGAGCAUUGGUUUGGAUCCCACUGAUCUUUCCUAAUUGCUAAUGUUGGGAUUUCAGGAGCUUCAAAGUUGCAGUCAAGAACUGGAAAUCGGCCAGCAGAACCAAGGGACUGAGGCAACAUACCAAUGGGACAUGGAUUCCAAGAUUUUACGAUCACCCAUCUUGUAUUUUUCUCAUUGUUGUUUGUUGACAUCAAAUUCUCAGUCUUCCUCCGAUGAAGUUUGAUUAACUCGAGGCUUCUGGCAGCAAAAUCAAUAGAUUCUUGUUCAUGGGAAAGGAAGUUCUCAGAGACACUAUCAUUGGAAGGGAAAGCUUCACUAACAUCCAGAUCCGGUCCAGUCAGCUGUAAAAGUUUCU
rnacentral:lncRNA from 1 species